UGGGGAGGCUUGCGGCUGCGGCCGCUGGCUUGAAGGAGCCCUUUUUAUGGCUUUGGGUUUUUUUUUCUCUCUAGAAAUGCAUCUGAUUUGGCAGAACUCUUUCCCUGUUGCUGGUGACUACUGAAAGACUGACCCCCAGUCAAUACUUCUAUUGUAAAGUCUUACUGAGACAAAGGAAUAGAUGGAAGAAAUAAAGACACAGCAGUGAACCAAA
rnacentral:lncRNA from 1 species